ACGACUCAACCAGUUUGUAUCACUGUGGUACACGUUUGGUGGAGGAACCAGACUGGAGUUUGGAAGUGAUGUCCGCCCCACCCUGACGGUGUUGCCCCCCUCCACAGAGGAGCUGCAGCAGGGGAAGGCCACACUCAUGUGUCUGGCCAACAAGGGCUUCCCCUCAGACUGGAGUCUGUCCUGGAAGGUGGACGGCAGCAGCAGCAGCAGCUAUGAGGACAGCAGGAGCCCCGGGGUGCUGCAGAAGGACGGCCACUACAGCUGGAGCAGCACCCUGAGGCUCUCUGCAGACCAGUGGAGGAAGGUGGGCUCUGUGACCUGUGAGGCCACCCAGGGUUCCCAGUCUCCACUCUCAGAGACACUGAGGAGAGACCAGUGUUCCCAGUACUGACCUGAUUUACUGGGACUCUCACAUGUUUUCACUCUGUCACUGAUCUCUGACUCUUUAUUUCAUUUCUUUAUUUUCUCAAAGCUUUUUUUCAAAUUCUUAUUUUCUGUUCAUGUG